rnacentral:rRNA from 1 species
UACGACUACAUAUCAGGCAUAUCAAUAAGCGGAGGAAAAGAAACUAACUAGGAUUCCCUCAGUAACGGCGAGUGAAGCGGGAAGAGCUCAAAUUUGAAAUCUUCAAGGUUUUACCUUGACGAAUUGUAGUUUAAAGAAGUGUUUUCUGUUGAAGUUUUGGUAAAAGUUCUUUGGAAUAGGACAUCAUAGAGGGUGAGAAUCCCGUAUUUGACCAUUAUCUUCCAGCUGUGUGAUACACUUUCAAAGAGUCGGAUUGUUUGGGAAUGCAGUCCAAAAUGGGUGGUAAAUUUCAUCUAAAGCUAAAUAUUGGCGAGAGACCGAUAGCGAACAAGUACCGUGAGGGAAAGAUGAAAAGAACUUUGAAAAGAGAGUUAAACAGUACGUGAAAUUGUCAAAAGGGAAGCGUUUGACACCAGUGUUGUUUUCUCGAAAAUCAAUUAAAAAGUAUGGGAUUUUGUAUUGUUAAGACCUUAUCAGCUUACGGUACUUUUUUCUUAUUCUUUUUAAUGCACUUUUCGUUUAACAAGUCAACAUCAAUUUCUUUUGUUGUAAAAGAGUCAUUGGAAGGUGGCUUUCACUUCGGUGAAAGUGUUUAUAGCCUUUGGCUUCUGCAAUCGGAGAGAUUGAGGUCUGCAGCGUAGAUCCUUCGGGGUUAGAUACGUAGAUGCUAAGUUAUAGUUUUUCAUAGACAACUUGUUGACUAUGAUUAAUCAUGUAGCUUACUCGUUUGCGCUAUUUUACCUACGCUUAGGAUGUUGAAUCUGUGCGAGACUAC